rnacentral:lncRNA from 1 species
GUUGGCAAGACGUAUCAUUUUUUGACCGAAUCGAAUUGGACAAGAUACAAUUUUCUAGCAAUUUUCUGCAGAAUAACUGUUAUUAGCGCAUUGGAAUUAGACUCAUUCUUACUAGGUAAAAUGCACCGCUGUGAGAAUAGGGUAACGCCUUAAUUUAUCCGGGACAGCGCGAACGCAGUCAUGGAUGAAAAUAUACUACGUAUAAGGAUACUUCAGCCGGGUGCAAAUCUUGUUCGAGCCCGCCCUCUAUCGUAGGCACCCGAGAAGCUUGUACUUCGUCCUCUGGCCUAUAGAUGCCGCUACGGUAGAGGUUCCCGCAUGGCUCCGCCAAAAACGCCGUGUGUACGACCGUGCGAUCGAGAUUCGCGGAAACCGUUGAAAAUUUGAAAAUCGUAGCUUGAUCGUAGCGCGUAGCCAUAUCGUAGCAGCGUCCCUCGUGCCUGAAUUCGAAUAGCGUGUGAUUUAUUAGCUUCUUUAAUUGAUUUUUGCGACAUGGAGUUCCAGUUCGAUACGGGCUAAGUGUCCUAAAGUGAUUUGUGUGUUAUUGCCGAACAUUUUUAGUUUAAGUUAGUGUUAAGUGUAGAUUCCAGCGAAACGAAAAUGUGUCCUAUGCAGCAGGCCUGCUUGCGGCACCAUUUCGUUAUUUUCUUUUCCAGCGGAUGAAACAAGGUUAUCAAAAUGGCUCAAAGCCCUUGGUAUGCCGUCGCUGGAAAAGAAGGAUCCGAGGAUCUGUUCCCUCCACUUCAAAAGUGAGAGCUUCAAAUCAUUUGCUAAAAACCAAAGAAGGCUGCAUGACUAUGCAGUGCCCGUGCGAGACUUGUAUAACUGGGCUCUCCAUAAGUCUCCCACUACUGGAUUGGUGGACAGACGUCGAACGGAUUUUCAUUCCCCCCCAGAUUUAUCAGCGCAUUCUUAUUUAUCUCCUGCCUCUCCGCAUGUGAAUACUCACACUGUGAAACAUCAUUAUGGAUCCAAAAGUCGUAGAGGUCUGUUCAAUACUCUCCCUCCAGUUCCUGGCGAGGCACAAGAUGUUGAUCAAGCACACCGAAUGGAAGGUACAGAUUUCUCUUUUUUCUUAACUGCAUCACGAUUAAUAACUGGACGGAGUUAAACCGAAGGAACCAAGCCACAUCAAGCCACAUCGGAAUCAAACCGAAAAAGGUCUUCCAAUUUCUUCCAUCAAACGUUUCCUCAAAUCUGCCAUGAAAAAAAUCUUGCUACCAAAUUGCUCUUGCACCUUGAAGAUGCAAAUCUCUCUCUAAAUUUGUGCUCUGAUGAAGCUGAAAAAGAGUUUAAAGCAAUGUACAUUAAAAUUCGUAUUCUGUGGGAAGUACGUUUUAUGAAUGGAAAGUUUGAAGAAGAGCGUCUUGAAAAACAACGGCAGCGUAAGUUGAAAAAUUGCAGUCCACAGAUGCACCAACCACAAAAUCAGAUGUAGGAAAUAGCAAUACCACUAAUAUUCAAGAGGAAACCCCCGCCAGAGGAAUUGAAAGUAAAAUUGGCAAGUGGACUGUUAAGAAAAGUAAAACCAAAUUGCCGAAGAAUCACAACAAACAGGGUCCAAUCAAAGGGAAAUCAAAGUCUAAUCGCAUAUGUCUCCGAAGGAGACGGAAAAAAAUCUUGGUAGGCAAGAUCCGACUAAUCAUUGAGACCAAUUAUUUUCUAGAAAAGCAAUUUCCUGAAAUUUGAUGCUACAUUGUUUGUGAUUUACCUUUUGUCAAGAGUCAAAUUCAAUUCUAUUAUCCAAAUGCAAUUUUCAACUGUAGAUUUUGAACACAUAUUUAAAUAGGUUACAGUUCCAGGCUUCAGUUUUAGGUCCAAAUUGUUCCUUGCAAUUCCCACCUUACUUAAUGUAAAUAUUGUGCAUAGUGUAAAAAUGUGUAAAUUGAAACAUAUUCCACUGAUCAUUGAAACAAAUUUUUUCUAGGUAAGCAAUUUCCUGAAAUUUGUUACUCCUAAAAUUUGAUGCUGAAUUUUAUGUGAUGAAUAUUUUGUCAAGAGUCAAAUUGAAUUUUGUCAUGCAAGUGUAAUUAUAAAUUGUAGUUUAUGAACACAUAUUUAAAUAGGUUACAGUUGUAGGCUCCAGUUUUAGGUACAAAUUGCUCCUUGCAAUUUCCAACAAACUUUAUGUAAGUGUAUAAAAUUAUACAUAGUGUAAAAAUGUGUAAAUUGAAACAUUCCACUGAGCAUUAAAACAAAUUUUUUUCUAGAUAAGCAAUUUCCUGAAAUUUGUUUCUCAUAAUAUUUGAUGCUCAAUCUUUGGUGAUGAAAUUUUUGUCAAGAGCCAUAUUCAAUUUCGUCAUGCAAGUGGAAUUUUAAAUUGUACAUUCUGAAAUCAUACUUAAAUAAUCUUCCAUGUCUUUGGGCCUCAGCCUUUAUCGAAUUUCUCACAGUAGGAAUUCUGUAAUUCAAGUGUCGAUAGUAUGUGCCUGCAAUAAUGAUGAGCAUAUAUUUAACAUUGCAUUUUAGCCAUGUUGUAGGAGAUUGCUUCCAAUGAUCUCAAGCUUCCGAACCGCUCUUAUUGAUAUGUAUAUAGUCGAAUUGUACACAUACAUGAACCAACUUUUGUUUAUGUUUACCUAUACAGUAUUAAAAAGAGCGUAAUGAGAUCUCUUUUCGUGAGCUCCUGUCGGUAGUUAUAGUAGCUGUUGGGUAGCAUGUUCAUUGUCAGUUGCUCCUCCAAUUUUUGAGUGCAUAUUUCUAAUCUUCAGUUUCUUAAUUUCCUGUUUUGUCAUUUUAAGCUGUUGUAAUUCUGUACAAUUGACUACAUAGUCAUGAAAGUUAUCCAUUUAUUUGCAGCAGCAAGUAUCUUUGAUGCAUUGUUUUUCUUCUCUGUGUGAAUUUUUAAAAAGCAUUUUUGUCUUUGAUAAGAUUUCCCUACUCCUAAUAAAGGUAGCUCUAAUUUAAUCUUAAUUCGUUGAGUAAUUUAUUUAUAAUUACAAUAUACUACAAGUAUGAAUUCAAACUUACCGCUUAUCAUGACAUGAAAAAUCGAUUUAAUUUUUUCUGAAUGUAAAUCACCUCCUCUGAAUAUUCUGAAAGGACUUACUUCUUUAAUUUUAAAGAGAAUCGUCCACUCUCCUUCAUUAUAAUAACUAUUUACAGGACCCAGACGGAAGAAGGAGGGAAUAUCGAAAAAAAUUACUUUUAAAAGACCAGUCACUGAUAUUCAUUACAUAAUUGCACAGUUUAUGUUAGCGAGAAUGCAGCAGAUAAAACGAAACUAAUGGGCGAUUCGUAUCUGUCCUUGACACAAGAAAAGAAAAAUUGGUGAUGAAAAGAAAUUUAAGGAAAAUCUCCGAACAAAGUAUGACAAUGUAGGGAUACACUUUGACUUGCUUUGUGUGGAAUGCCUGUGGUAACUUUUAUGAAUAAAAUUCCUGUUUAUAAUUGCUAUUAUUUACAGUAGAAGCAAGACCAAUCCACACAGGUCAGUCAUUCCGGUGGACGAGUUUUGGUCCUCUACUGCGCAGUGACGUACUAUUGAGUGCACGCAAUGUAUUUCUUAUGGGAGCACCCAGUGUGACGUACUAUUGAGUGCAGCCGAGUUAGGGCCGGGCGGGGAAGUGACUUUCAAAAAGAUGCGCAAUGACUGACCUGUGUGGAUUGGUCUUGAGUAGAAGGUUCUCCAGAAUGUCAGAAUUUUCACUUCAUACUCUAAAUUUUUCUCCCCUCCAUUCCUUUACACUUCUUGGUACACUUAAUUGGAGCAAUUUUGAAGAGGAAAUCAUUCAUCGAACGUUAGAAUUGAAUUCCACACCAAGCAAGUCUUAAUUUUCACAUCUGUGGUAUUUUGUUGAAGGACUUCCUUAAAUUUCUCUUAAUCGGAAAUCGCAGUACCUAUUCAAAUUAUAUGGACCAAGCUGGACGGUGGAUAAUUUGAAUCUACCGGGCCUCUCGGAUCGGGCUGCGUCAGCGCGCUCUACCGGACUUUUGACGAAACAUUGCCAAUUUAGUUCUUGGGUGCCUACGCAAGAGCGCGCACCGUCAGCUGGGAACUCCCUAAAAUAGCGCACAGGUUUUUAGCACUGGCAGGAUUCUAUGUGGAGUAUCCUUAUACGUUAGUAUAUUUUCAUCCAUGACGCAGUCCCGACUCCCAAAAAUUACGCGCCCGAGGUAUCUACAUUUGAGAUACUCGCAGGGGUCAGCCCAACCGGAGUGCAAUGGAAGGCCUC